ensembl:lncRNA
AUGUCCUGUGCAUUCAAAAAAUGCCUUGUUACACUUUCAGGGCUGGCUCCUGCUCUUUUCCCAAUUCAGCUAAUGGUGUGGAAUUGUUAUAUCAGAAGCCAUGUUCCCAAAGCCAUCAAGAAUUCAGCUUCAGAUAUUGGAAGCAAGUUGAAUAGAAAGAGUGGUCAUGGACUAUUUUGGGAAAAGUGUACUCAGCAGAUGGACAUAGCAAUAAGAGCGAAUAUCCAGUCAGCCACCGAGGAACAGAAGAGCUGUAAUAAAUAUUAUUAAAGUUCUAAGGAGCAAUUCAGGACCCAUCUCAUCAGCUGGGAGACUUGUGCAUCACUGAGAACAACUUGAUGAAGAUCACUACUCAUACAUCUGUGCUCAAAAAAAGAAGUAUUAGGAUGUAYGUGAAAUAAUAACCGACUCCACUGCAAGAUGUAAGAAUAUUUUUUACAUGCGGUGCUCCUCACCACAGCGAGGAGUGCCAGUCUGUGCAUUGCAAAAACAAUUCGAAUUAGCGUGAUUCCAGAGAAGAGUUGCAAGACCCACUAGGUGCAGAGAAAAGCUGUCAUAUGGAGAGUGACUGAACUUACUUUACAGUGGAGGGGACAUAAUCAAAGUGUCUACAUCAAUCAAUGUAUCACUGUAUUAAGAAGGAGAAUUGGGAGUAUCUAUUUUCUCUGCUUUGUAAGUACGAAGAAAUAGUACGGUUAAAGAGGCAAGCUUUUCUCCAAGAAUGGGACCACCUUUACAGAUGCCGAGGUUCAGUAUUCACUCCGGGAUGUGUUCCCGUCUGGAUUUCUAGUAGACCAAAGUAUGGAGCAUGCCUAAAGGAUCCAUACCGACUUGUUCAUUAAUGCUGACAGAUGCUGUCUUAUUAUAGUAGUAGUAUUAGAAAUUCAUCAGCAUGUUACAAGUUUGCAGCCUCUUACAGUAUGCUGUGUACUUACAGUUCAGGAUUGGGUGACCCGUGUGAGUUGGUUUGGCAUAUUUUGGCUUUGCUGGCUUUGUUUAUAAGUGUAUGUCUUUUCUCCCCAGAAUCUUACUUUGUAUUACUUUUUGUUAGCUGUGUUUUUGUCUUCAUUGAGAAGGCAGUAUAUACCACGGUGUGAUGACAACAGUUCUUUGCAUUUACAUUAAAAACUGCUUUGAACUGAUAUUUGCAUAUUUUACAGGACAACCUUUUGAAAAUGAGAUAGAAACCACUCAUAUACCUUCUGUUACUACACUAAGACAGGAGYUUCCUGACACUAAGUAAUUAUAUAUAAGAAUGAACUACAAAUAAUAAKAAGAGAAGGUUCAACUUCUCCUUUUAAGGAUGAUUGACAAAAGAUGCUUAAAAAUGGGCUUGUCCUUUUCACUUUUGCAGACAUAGAAGGUAGUUGGAAAUGGUUGUUUUGGGAUGUUUGGUUUAUUUCCAGAGGACUGAGGGGAGAAGAAUUGUUUUUACCCUAAAAAUCAUGUGAAUGUCAACUUGGGUUUUUUUUCUGUCUUGCUGGAGGACUUGUUGAAGGUCUCAGAUGUUUAUUGUGAGCGCUGACAUUUUAAUUGAAAGGACAAAAGUGUUGAUUUUUUUAAACAAAUAGAUCCUUUGUCCAAAUUGUUUAUUAGUUACUGGAUUAAGUAGGUUUUAACAACAAAAAUAAUAAAUCAGAGUUCUAAACAGUCUAACUUAAAAUC